AGUAUCUCGCCCGUGGAACUAUGCGGGAUAUAUAUAUACCUCCUGCGAGUAUGCAACGCGACGGGUAAUUAAACGACGCGCUAAUUAAUCGAGGACGCAACGCACAGAGAUAGUGGAAGAACGAUGUCGCGGGACGAUCGCAUCUUUACGUCUUAAUUUGGCCUUAAGUGGACUCUGAUAAGUACAUUACUUAUACACAUAAGACUUUCAACGCGAAAAAUGAAACGAAAUGAAACGGGACGGCCAGCCGCAAAGCGUCAACGUUAUCUCUGACACGGUGCUCUGCCUACUUGCGUACAAACGGUUGAUUCGCGUGGGUGGCGUGCGAAUUUCUCGUCCUGCCAGCCAAUCCUCCCCCACUCCUCUUUAGCCACGCCUUAUCUAUCCUGCGGGAUGUUUGAACGAGGGACGAGCGUUAUCGGGAUAAUUCCCUGAAACGCGUGAAAGCGAGUCUAAAACCGACGAAAUCAAUCUGUGUUGCCUCUUGUUAAACCGAAAGGUGUUUCUUUUUCUUUUUAAAUUACGCGUCGAUUCGCUUUCAUGCGCGGGGAAACGAAUUUUUUGCAAACGCGUAAUACGCCUGAUUACAUGCGCCGUGUAUAUACGAUGGUCGGUGGCGCGCGAGUGGAUGGAUGGUGUUUGGAGGUUAGGUUAUCCGGAGAGGUGGCGACCUCUCGGUGGAAGAGAAACCCUGACAUUUACGACGCUUUAUCUUCAGCCAAGUUCGUUAACGAUAUUUUGGAUUUAUAUCUCUUCUUUUUUUUUUUAAUAUAUUUGAUAAGUAAAGUUAGUUAUCUGCUUUUUGAGGGGAUUUAGAUUGUAUUGUAGAGUCUAAUUUAUUUUUCUCCAAUAUUUAUCUUAAAAUAAUCUACACCAUUUAAUUUAUGAAACUAAUUUGUAAAAAAAAGUUUCUUAUUAGACAGAACGAUGAAGAAAUUUGUCUAUUUAUUUAUUGAAUGAGCUUUUCUGUUCUAGUAGUUCUCUUGAUACCGACAAUAAAAAUAGAUGGCUUUAAUUCGUUAUUACCCUCUCCCUGCAAAGAGAUUCGAGAUAAGACAUGAUUCAACCUUAGAAGCUACGGGUCUGAAGAUUAAUUUGAUAAGCUAUUAAUAAGAACCACAAUGAUUCCCCCAUCACAUUUAUCUCCCUUCAUCGCUCCCUAGAGUAAUUAAACUCUAUACAUUAUCCCAAGCUAUUCUAAAUUGGUGAUAUCAAAUUACCCCAAAAAUCUCUACACUUGAUAAUCUUCUAACCACUUCUCCCUUCAUUUAUCAUCUCCACGAAUGAUUCUUAUAUUCCGUACGAUACGUAAAAUGGAAAUUAAUAAAAUAUUUCAUACAAUAAGUAAGGAAAGGAAUUUUCAAAUGAUAAAGUUACGAUAAUUGUAUAUUUAAAGUAUUUAUAGAAUCAAUUACCUCUCGUUAUCAUCAACAAAAAAAAAGCCUGGCUCGAUUUAUAAAAAUUUACUAUAAAUAUAACUAUAUUUAAUUCCUCGUUUCAUUACGUUCGACUCUACCAACCUCGCCCAUCGCAGACGACCAAGCGGAAGCCAAGCGGCUAACGGAAUCCCCAUUUAAUAAUAAACCGAAACGCAUGCGCACGAGAAUCCAAUCCACCAACGUUCCACACAACGCUGUUGAAAAGAAAGCCUAGGAGAGUCUACUUUACCUACCGUACCAAGCCGGUAGAUUCGUGUGAUAAAGAGCGUAACGCGCUUGGUCAGGGGCGCAUUGUGCGUGUCGCCUGUUUGGACAGCACAGUAAGCGCGUUCUGUCAGCGGCGCGCGAGCGUGCGCGCUCAUCGAGCGGAACAAGCGCGGUGCCUUUUGCAAAACGGCAGCCGCCGCUCGCGUAGGUGGAAACGCGGGCGGCCGCUCGAGGCCCGCUUUGAGGCCGUGUCCCGUAACAGGCUAACUUCAUGCAAAUCGGAGGGGGACACCGAGAUGGAAAGGACUCGCCUAUCGUUUCUGCAGGCCGCAAACGGUACGGAACGCUUUCCACGCUCGGGGACGAGGAAAUGGAAGUUCGGAUCGAUUGGGAGGAUAGAUUGUUCAUUUGUACGAAAUUGAUGCGAAUUAAUGAAAAUUAUAUAUAUUUAGGUUAAUUUAUCAUAAGUGAAGCGAUAAUAUGUUGAAAUAUCUUUGAUUAAUUUGUAAUUUCAUUAUCAUAAAUUUUGUAUUCGUCAUUUUACAAAAGAGAGAAAUAAUAAAUGCAAGAAUUGGAAUUUUGUGGAAUGAUAGAAUUCCAUUUAUCUAACCAUA
rnacentral:lncRNA from 1 species